GGACCUUGGUGUUCUAGCCCUCCAGUACUUGAGUUUGCCUUUUCUGCUGGCUUUUCCUUUUUGCCCUUAGGUCUCCAUUCACCAGGCUCCUAAUUGGUUCCUUUAGUCCUUCCACUGAAUGAAGUUCCACCUCUGAACUCCAGCCAUCUUGUGACUAUGUAUAUGUUAUCAUGGAAAAUGUCUUGUGAAACUACACAUAUAGAGUUCAGCUUGAAACUCUAAGGUUGAUUGCAUUUUUUUUGGCUCAAGCCACCACUGCUGGAUAAAUGAAAUUCUAGGUACCAGAAUGUGAAAUGCCUAACAGCUUCUGUGUACACAUGUGUUUUUCUCUUUUAAUUGAUAUCCUGGCUUUAGACCAACUUCAGAUUUACAUCUACUGGACAAAUAAUCCUGAUGCUCUCAUUUUCUUUAUCCUCAGUCCUGGAGAGGGGUGAGGACGGGAGAAGAGUAGGUAGGAGAGAGGCUUUUUUGAACUUUUAGCUUACCCCCUCCUAAACCCUUCUGCUCCAUCCCAGUACUGUCCAAGCAAGCUUGAUUAUGGUAUCUUCAUACUAGCUUUCUAAAACCUCCAGAACAUAGAAGAGGCAGAAUAGCAUAAUGAUAUUCACUCUGGAGCCAAAGGUCUCUGACUCUGAGACUUUGAAAAUUAUUCAUUCUCAUUCUGUGUAAAAAGGUUCUUAGUAAAAAUCCUGCUGAUAAACAAAACUGUUGGAAGCCUGGAAGAACAGUCUUCUCUUUCAUAUUGAACAACCCACUAAAAUGCGUUUUUAAUUUUUUCAUUGUAAAUAUUUCAUUUCUGUUUAGUGGUCUCAGAUUUUCCAUAUUCUGACCAAAAUUAUCAAAUUCUUCAAUGGCAGGCAAUUCUACACUCCUAUAUCUUGUAUUUAGAUAUUUUAAAAAUUAUUAUGUAUUUCUAUAAUAAUAAUGGUAACUAUUAUUAUAACUUUUUAUUCUGCUUUGUACAAUGCCUGACAGGAAGGUAUUCAAUGACUACUGAUUGACUGAUUAAAUAUAAGCAUAAAUUAAUUAACUGGUUAAUCCACUGUGGAUUCACUGAUUCUAUAGUCAAUGUCUAAUCUCAAUCUAAUGAUCAUCGAAUUAUA
rnacentral:lncRNA from 10 species